UGUGGAUUAGUUGUGUUUACUGCUUAUUCCUUUCUGAUCAACUGGAAUCCGAUCCCAGACGUUCCAGCGCCCAGAAGGCGUUUAAUGGAACGUUGGAUCUACUAGUUCCAGUGAUAAUCGUCUCUAUCCCAAGGGAUUGGCCGUUUAGAGCGGUUAUUGGCUUUAACAGUCGGUUCUUAUUGUCUGCUUAGUUAGAGAUCGCUAAUGGGAAUUAGGCCUGUGUCUAGCUAUGCUUGAGGAUUUCUAUCACGGGAGUAAAUUAAUCUGUUGUUGAACCUGUUGUCUAGGGAUAGCUUGAUUGA
rnacentral:sRNA from 1 species